rnacentral:rRNA from 1 species
GAUAAACGCUGGCGGCGUGCCUAAUACAUGCAAGUCGAUCGAUGGAUGCCCAGCUUGCUGGGAGGAAAUAGAGGCGAACGGGUGAGUAAUACGUAAGCAACCUGCCCACGAAGACCGGGAUAAUCCCUGGAAACGGGGACUAAGACCGGAUAGGUAACAGAACCGCAUGAUUUUGUUAUUAAAGGUUAAAAACACUGGUGGAUGGGCUUACGGUGCAUUAGCUAGUUGGUGAGGUAACGGCCCACCAAGGCGAUGAUGCAUAGCUGGUCUGAGAGGAUGAACAGCCACAUUGGGACUGAGACACGGCCCAGACUCCUACGGGAGGCAGCAGUAGGGAAUUUUCGGCAAUGGGGGAAACCCUGACCGAGCAACGCCGCGUGAGUGAAGAAGGUCUUCGGAUUGUAAAGCUCUGUUGUAAGGGAAGAAAUGUACUUUGAGAAAAAGUACUUGACGGUACCUUACCAGAAAGCUACGGCUAACUACGUGCCAGCAGCCGCGGUAAUACGUAGGUAGCGAGCGUUAUCCGGAAUUAUUGGGCGUAAAGGGUGCGUAGGCGGCCAUUUAAGUUCAUGGUGAAAGCGUGGGGCUCAACCCCAUAAAGCCAUGGAUACUGGAUGGCUGGAGUACUGGAGAGGGUAGUGGAACUCCAUGUGUAGCGGUAAAAUGC